rnacentral:rRNA from 1 species
CCCUUAGACGUUCUGGGCCGCACGCGCGCUACACUGAUGUGUCCAGUAAGCACCUAACCUCUUCCGAAAGGAACGGGUAACCUUUGCAAAGCACAUCGUGAUGGGGAUAGAUUAUUGCAAUUAUUAGUCUUGAACGAGGAAUUCCUAGUAAGCACAAGUCAUCAGCUUGUGUUGAUUACGUCCCUGCCCUUUGUACACACCGCCCGUCGCUCCUACCGAUUGAAUGUUCCGGUGAGCUCUUCGGACUGCGCGGUCUGCAGUUUCUGCGUUCCGUGCGGAAAGUUGCGCAAACCUUAACAUUUAGAGGAAGGAGAAGUCGUAACA